GAUGAAGAACGUAGCGAAAUGCGAUAACUAGUGUGAAUUGCAGAAUUCCGUGAAUCAUCGAGUCUUUGAACGCACAUUGCGCCCCAUGGUAUUCCGGGGGGCAUGCCUGUCCGAGCGUCAUUGCUGCCCAUCAAGCACGGCUUGUGUGUUGGGUCGUCGUCCCCCCCUCCGGGGGGGGACGGGCCCUAAAGGCAGCGGCGGCACCGCGUCCGAUCCUCGAGCGUAUGGGGCUUUGUCACCCGCUCUGUAGGCCCGGCCGGCGCUUGCCGAACGCAAAACAACCAUUCUUUCCAGGUUGACCUCGGAUCAGGUAGGGAUACCCGCUGAACUUAAGCAUAUCAAUAAGCGGAGGA
rnacentral:misc_RNA from 1 species